rnacentral:rRNA from 1 species
UGGGGAAUUUUGCGCAAUGGGCGAAAGGCUGACGCAGCGACGCCGCGUGCGGGAGGACGCCCUUCGGGGUGUAAACCGCUGUUGCCCGGGACGAAUGGCCUCUUUCGAGGGGCGUGACGGUACCGGGUGAGGAAGCACCGGCUAACUCCGUGCCAGCAGCCGCGGUAAUACGGAGGGUGCGAGCGUUGUCCGGAAUCACUGGGCGUAAAGGGCGCGUAGGCGGUUCGGUAAGCGUGCGGUGAAAGCCCGGGGCUCAACCCCGGGUCGGCCGUGCGGACUGCCAGACUGGAGCACUGUAGAGGCGGGUGGAAUUCCGGGUGUAGCGGUGGAAUGCGUAGAGAUCCGGAAGAACACCGGUGGCGAAGGCGGCCCGCUGGGCAGUGGCUGACGCUGAGGCGCGACAGCGUGGGGAGCAAACAG